GAGCGGGGAAGACCAGGUGGUAAGUCGCUGGGAAAUAAAUCGUGAAAUUCGUCCAACAAUGUUGUGAAGUCAGAUGGAAUCAGUGGAAUUGUAGAAGAAACCAAUGAGUUCACCAGUAUGAGACACACCCUUCUUCUCGUAGUGCCAUCUCGAAAGGUUUUCGUUGAAGAAUGAGGACAUGCGCUGAAGAUGUACUUUUCUUCUCUGGUAAUGACGGUUGGAGAGUAAAAUUGUGAUUGUUAUGGUGAAAGCUAUAAGUGUUGUGAUACCCAUCAUGUUGAAUCCGAUGAUCAAAUAUCCAUGGCCGGCCUAGGAGUAGGUGACAUGCGUCCAUUCAAGCUACAUCACAGUGAAUUUUAUCUUUGAAUGUUCCUCCAAUUGAGUAAGAGAUGAGAGUACGGCGAGUGAUGAGAAGGUCUGUUUUAUGAUCCAGCCAAUCCAAUUUAUAAGGACAUGGGUAGAGUUCCGUUGGGAGCUUUAGUUUGUUGAUGACAUCUUUGGCUACCACAUUUUCACUGCUACCCGAAUCAAUGAUAAACUUGCAAACUUUACCAUCAAUGGUGCACUUAGAGUGGAACAGGGUAUGUCGU
rnacentral:lncRNA from 1 species